rnacentral:rRNA from 1 species
UACGUAGGUGGCAAGCGUUGUCCGGAUUUACUGGGCGUAAAGAGCGCGCAGGCGGUCGUGCAAGUCGCGUGUGAAAGCCCCCGGCUCAACUGGGCGGGGUCGGCGGAUACGGCCGAGCUGGAGCAAGCUAGGGGGUAAUGGAAUUCCCGGUGUAGUGGUGGAAUGCGUAGAUAUCAGGAGGAACACCGGUGGCGAAGGCGGAUCUCUGGGCCUUACCUGACGCUGAGGAGCGAAAGCAUGGGGAGCAAACAGG